AACCGGAGAAGUGCAUCGGAAACUGGGAGACUUGAGUGCAGAAGAGGACAGUGGAACUCCAUGUGUAGCGGUGGAAUGCGUAGAUAUAUGGAAGAACACCAGUGGCGAAGGCGGCUGUCUAGUCUGUAACUGACGCUGAGGCUCGAAAGCAUGGGUAGCGAACAGGAUUAGAUACCCUGGUAGUCCAUGCCGUAAACGAUGAGUGCUAAGUGUUGGAGGGUUUCCGCCCUUCAGUGCUGCAGCUAACGCAUUAAGCACUCCGCCUGGGGAGUACGACCGCAAGGUUGAAACUCAAAGGAAUUGACGGGGGCCCGCACAAGCGGUGGAGCAUGUGGUUUAAUUCGAAGCUACGCGAAGAACCUUACCAGGUCUUGACAUCUUCUGCCAAUCUUAGAGAUAAGACGUUCCCUUCGGGGACAGAAUGACAGGUGGUGCAUGGUUGUCGUCAGCUCGUGUCGUGAGAUGUUGGGUUAAGUCCCGCAACGAGCGCAACCCUUAUUAUCAGUUGCCAGCAUUCAGUUGGGCACUCUGGUGAGACUGCCGGUGACAAACCGGAGGAAGGUGGGGAUGACGUCAAAUCAUCAUGCCCCUUAUGACCUGGGCUACACACGUGCUACAAUGGACGGUACAACGAGUCGCGAAGUCGUGAGGCUAAGCUAAUCUCUUAAAGCCGUUCUCAGUUCGGAUUGUAGGCUGCAACUCGCCUACAUGAAGUUGGAAUCGCUAGUAAUCGCGGAUCAGCAUGCCGCGGUGAAUACGUUCCCGGGCCUUGUACACACCGCCCGUCACACCAUGAGAGUUUGUAACACCCAAAGCCGGUGAGAUAACCUUCGGG
rnacentral:rRNA from 2 species